UAAUAAUCACCUAACCUAGACCUUGAAUCUACACCCCCUAACCUUAUAAAUCAUCUACCCAUAACACAUAACCCUUCUAAAGACACAAUGUGAUUUAUUCUCAUUGCUUUGCAUGUCAAAGUGAAGAAAUUCAACCAAUAACGGGUAAAUGGAGGGAUUAACUAUGACUCUCUUAAGAUAUCUAGAUGCCUCAUCAUCUAAUUAGUGAUGCACAUGAAUAUAUAAUUAAUGAGAUUCCCCACUGUCCCUAGCUACUAUAUUCUAGAUAAACCACAUCCAAGGGAAUGGGCUUGGUAUAAUUAGCGGGGAAAUAAGACCCUCUUGAGCUUGACUCUAGUUCUAACCCAUUCAUAGUUUGGGAAAAUUAGGGU
rfam:Picea glauca, whole genome shotgun sequence.